AUUGAACGCUGGCGGCAUGCUUUACACAUGCAAGUCAAACGGUAACAGGUUAAGCUGACGAGUGGCGAACGGGUGAGUAAUGCAUCGGAACGUGCCCGGUCGUGGGGGAUAACGCAGCGAAAGCUGCGCUAAUACCGCAUACGAUCUGAGGAUGAAAGCGGGGGACCGUAAGGCCUCGCGCGAUCGGAGCGGCCGACGUCAGAUUAGGUAGUUGGUGGGGUAAAGGCUCACCAAGCCAACGAUCUGUAGCUGGUCUGAGAGGACGACCAGCCACACUGGGACUGAGACACGGCCCAGAAUCCUACGGGAGGCAGCAGUGGGGAAUUUUGGACAAUGGGCGAAAGCCUGAUCCAGCAAUGCCGCGUGCAGGAAGAAGGCCUUCGGGUUGUAAACCGCUUUUGUACGGAGCGAAAAGGUCUCCUCUAAUACAGGGGGCUCAUGACGGUACCGUAAGAAUAAGCACCGGCUAACUACGUGCCAGCCGCCGCAGUAA
rnacentral:rRNA from 1 species